rnacentral:rRNA from 1 species
GAGAAAUACAAAUCGGACUAGGAUAUAGCUGGUUUUCUGCGAAAAUUGUUUUGGCAAAUUGUUUAUUCCUCUAAAUAAUAGUAGGUAUAGCACUGAAUAUCUCGAGCGAGUAUGAAAAUAUUUAUCUCAGAUAUUUAAUCUCAAAAUAACUAUAUCUUAAAAUAAAUAAUCAGACUAUGUGCGAUAAGGUAGAUAGUCGAAAGGGAAACAGCCCAGAACAGUAAUUAAAGCUCCCCAAUUAAUAUUAAGUGAAAUAAAAGUUGUUCGAU